rnacentral:rRNA from 1 species
UCAGGAUGAACGCUAGCUACAGGCUUAACACAUGCAAGUCGAGGGGCAUCAGGAAGAAAGCUUGCUUUCUUUGCUGGCGACCGGCGCACGGGUGAGUAACACGUAUCCAACCUGCCCUUUACUCGGGGAUAGCCUUUCGAAAGAAAGAUUAAUACCCGAUAGCAUAAUGAUUCCGCAUGGUUUCAUUAUUAAAGGAUUCCGGUAAAGGAUGGGGAUGCGUUCCAUUAGGUUGUUGGUGAGGUAACGGCCCACCAAGCCUUCGAUGGAUAGGGGUUCUGAGAGGAAGGUCCCCCACAUUGGAACUGAGACACGGUCCAAACUCCUACGGGAGGCAGCAGUGAGGAAUAUUGGUCAAUGGGCGCUAGCCUGAACCAGCCAAGUAGCGUGAAGGAUGAAGGCUCUAUGGGUCGUAAACUUCUUUUAUAUAAGAAUAAAGUGCAGUAUGUAUACUGUUUUGUAUGUAUUAUAUGAAUAAGGAUCGGCUAACUCCGUGCCAGCAGCCGCGGUAAUACGGAGGAUCCGAGCGUUAUCCGGAUUUAUUGGGUUUAAAGGGAGCGUAGGUGGACUGGUAAGUCAGUUGUGAAAGUUUGCGGCUCAACCGUAAAAUUGCAGUUGAUACUGUCAGUCUUGAGUACAGUAGAGGUGGGCGGAAUUCGUGGUGUAGCGGUGAAAUGCUUAGAUAUCACGAAGAACUCCGAUUGCGAAGGCAGCUCACUGGACUGCAACUGACACUGAUGCUCGAAAGUGUGGGUAUCAAACAGGAUUAGAUACCCUGGUAGUCCACACAGUAAACGAUGAAUACUCGCUGUUUGCGAUAUACAGUAAGCGGCCAAGCGAAAGCAUUAAGUAUUCCACCUGGGGAGUACGCCGGCAACGGUGAAACUCAAAGGAAUUGACGGGGGCCCGCACAAGCGGAGGAACAUGUGGUUUAAUUCGAUGAUACGCGAGGAACCUUACCCGGGCUUAAAUUGCAGUGGAAUGAUGUGGAAACAUGUCAGUGAGCAAUCACCGCUGUGAAGGUGCUGCAUGGUUGUCGUCAGCUCGUGCCGUGAGGUGUCGGCUUAAGUGCCAUAACGAGCGCAACCCUUAUCUUUAGUUACUAACAGGUUAUGCUGAGGACUCUAGAGAGACUGCCGUCGUAAGAUGUGAGGAAGGUGGGGAUGACGUCAAAUCAGCACGGCCCUUACGUCCGGGGCUACACACGUGUUACAAUGGGGGGUACAGAAGGCAGCUAGCGGGUGACCGUAUGCUAAUCCCAAAAUCCUCUCUCAGUUCGGAUCGAAGUCUGCAACCCGACUUCGUGAAGCUGGAUUCGCUAGUAAUCGCGCAUCAGCCACGGCGCGGUGAAUACGUUCCCGGGCCUUGUACACACCGCCCGUCAAGCCAUGGGAGCCGGGGGUACCAGAAGUACGUAACCGCAAGGAUCGUCCUAGGGUA